rnacentral:rRNA from 1 species
UACGUAGGGUGCAAGCGUUUGUCCGGAAUUAUUGGGCGUAAAGAGCUCGUAGGUGGCCUGUCGCGUCGGCUGUGAAAACUCGGGGCUCAACUCCGAGCUUGCAGUCGAUACGGGCGGACUGGAGUUCGGCAGGGGAGACUGGAAUUCCUGGUGUAGCGGUGAAAUGCGCAGAUAUCAGGAGGAACACCGGUGGCGAAGGCGGGUCUCUGGGCCGAUACUGACACUGAGGAGCGAAAGCGUGGGGAGCGAACAGG